GAUGAACGCUGGCGGCGUGCCUAAUACAUGCAAGUCGAGCGAAUGGAUUAAGAGCUUGCUCUUAUGAAAUUAGCGGCGGACGGGUGAGUAACACGUGGGUAACCUGCCCAUAAGACUGGGAUAACUCCGGGAAACCGGGGCUAAUACCGGAUAACAUUUUGAACUGCAUGGUUCGAAAUUGAAAGGCGGCUUCGGCUGUCACUUAUGGAUGGACCCGCGUCGCAUUAGCUAGUUGGUGAGGUAACGGCUCACCAAGGCAACGAUGCGUAGCCGACCUGAGAGGGUGAUCGGCCACACUGGGACUGAGACACGGCCCAGACUCCUACGGGAGGCAGCAGUAGGGAAUCUUCCGCAAUGGACGAAAGUCUGACGGAGCAACGCCGCGUGAGUGAUGAAGGCUUUCGGGUCGUAAAACUCUGUUGUUAGGGAAGAACAAGUGCUAGUUGAAAAAGCUGGCACCUUGACGGUACCUAACCAGAAAGCCACGGCUAACUACGUGCCAGCCGCCGCAGUAAGAC
rnacentral:rRNA from 1 species